rnacentral:rRNA from 1 species
UGUAAGCGUAUACCAAAGUUGUUGCAGUUAAAACGCUCGUAGUCGGACUUUGGCAGUUCCGGAUGUGUGCACGUCGUGUGCGCACUUCGCGGGGAUUGCUUUUGUGGUCUUGCGUAGGAUGAGGCACUUUUAUUAGUGAACGUCCUCACGCAACCACUUUUUACUGUGAGAAAAUCAGAGUGCUCAAGGCAGGCAUUUGCCGUGAAUGUAUUAGCAUGGAAUAAUAGAAUAGGACUUGGUUCUAUUUUGUUGGUUUGUUGGGACUGAGUAAUGAUUAAGAGGGACAGUUGGGGGCAUUUGUAUUUCGGUGCUAGAGGUGAAAUUCUUAGAUUACCGAAAGACAAACUGCUGCGAAAGCGUCUGCCAAGGAUGUUUUCAUUGA